rnacentral:tRNA from 1 species
GCACGAGUAGUUCAGAGGUUAGAAUUCUUGCUUCCCAACUUCUGUUGAAUAGCAAGGGACCCGAGUUCGAAUCUCGGCUCGUGCA